rnacentral:rRNA from 1 species
GCGGCAGGCUUAACACAUGCAAGUCGAGCGGUAACAGAUCUAGCUUGCUAGAUGCUGACGAGCGGCGGACGGGUGAGUAAUGCAUAGGAAACUGCCCAGUAGUGGGGGAUAGCCCGGGGAAACCCGGAUUAAUACCGCGUACGCCCUUCGGGGGAAAGCAGGGGAUCUUCGGACCUUGCGCUAUUGGAUGUGCCUAUGUCGGAUUAGCUAGUUGGUGGGGUAAAGGCCUACCAAGGCGACGAUCCGUAGCUGGUCUGAGAGGAUGAUCAGCCACAUCGGGACUGAGACACGGCCCGAACUCCUACGGGAGGCAGCAGUGGGGAAUAUUGGACAAUGGGGGCAACCCUGAUCCAGCCAUGCCGCGUGUGUGAAGAAGGCUUUCGGGUUGUAAAGCACUUUCAGUGAGGAGGAAAAGUUAGUCAUUAAUACUGGCUAGCCUUGACGUUACUCACAGAAGAAGCACCGGCUAACUCCGUGCCAGCAGCCGCGGUAAUACGGAGGGUGCAAGCGUUAAUCGGAAUUACUGGGCGUAAAGCGCGCGUAGGUGGUUUGAUAAGCGAGAUGUGAAAGCCCCGGGCUUAACCUGGGAACGGCAUUUCGAACUGUCAGGCUAGAGUAUGGUAGAGGGUAGUGGAAUUUCCUGUGUAGCGGUGAAAUGCGUAGAUAUAGGAAGGAACACCAGUGGCGAAGGCGGCUACCUGGACCAAU